rnacentral:lncRNA from 1 species
GCCUGGCCUGAGUUCCUCCUGUCUGGUAAAUGUACUAAAUCAGCGCCUUUUCUGCUUUCAUCGGAUUUGCGCUCAGCACACCCUUGUCCAGAGCUGGCUCAGAGCUCACCCUGCCUCCUGUGCCAAUUACCUCUAGAGAAAGCGAGCCAGCUAUGCUUGAGUGCCUCCCAAAGCCCACUCAGCAGGUUCUUUGAUUCCAUGAGCCUUGCUGGAGGGAGUGUGUAAGGAGAUGCAGACGGACACCGGACAAGCCCUGACAUAAAGAAUGGGGCGGGCAAAGGGAAGUGGCAGAGAGAGUCCUCACACGGACUCUACAUCUGAUUGCAGCCUUCCUGGUUCAGCCCCGAGAUGGAAGGGGUCUCUCACUUCUGAUCCAUUUGACAGGACCCUUCUCCUCAACCACACCUUGGAACAGUCAUUUCCUCACUUCACGCACUGAUUGAAUGGGCAAACACCAGAUUUCACAGGUCCACGCUGAGGAUUUCAACAGAUCUCCUAGGGAACACAGCGAGGCCUGUAACAAGUGAUAAACAUGUGAAGUGAGCCUGCGACUGUCAGACCCAGGAUAGAAGGGCCAGUGGCUGGAUUGCAGAGUGAAGGGAUGGGGACAGGGAGCGUUUGCAGCCUUUGUGGUAGAGGCCACACUCCAUUCCUGGAUGGUAGCCACUGAGAUGAGAUCUUUGGUUGUAAUACAUUAUCCAGCUGUGCCCUUCUGAAUGUGCACAUUUCUGAAUAUCUAGUGUGUCUCAAUAAAAAUGAUACAGUAG